rnacentral:ribozyme from 1 species
GAUAAAAAAAUAAAAAAAUAAAUUGAAUAUUGUUGUUUUUGUCUUGUGAUUUUUUUCAUGCAUUG